rnacentral:RNase_P_RNA from 1 species
CCAGAAGGCCGGAUAACCGCGGGUAUGCAAAUAUUCGAGGAAAGUCCGGGCUCCAGAAAAACACGGUGCCGGUUAACGGCCGGCGGGGGCGACCCCAGGGAUCAGUGCCACAGAAAAUAUACCGCCCAGCAAUGGGUAAGGGUGAAAAGGUGCGGUAAGAGCGCACCGCGGAACUGGCAACAGUUUUGGCAGGGAAAACCCCACCGGGAGCAAGGCCAAAUAGGGAAGGCAUGAUCAUCUUCGGAUGGUCGGGUUUGUUUUUUAACCUCGCCUUCCGGGUUGGCUGCCAGAGGUGACAAGAGAUUGUCACCCCAGACGAAUGGUUAUCGCCGCGCAAGCGGUACAGAACCCGGCUUACAGGCCUUCUGGCAUA